rnacentral:lncRNA from 1 species
GCAAGAUAAAAUCCUUCUCGUCUCGAACGAGUUCAGGUAUGGUGUAUAGGGUGGAAGAAGUUCUGAGGGUGGCUAAGGCAGGUUCGAAGAGAACGCCUAGCCACCCGGUCUCUUGCUCUGAAGCACAAGGAGGUGGAGAAGGAUCCGAAAGGCGCCUCUACCCCCAGAUGAAAGAGCAAUGGCCAAGGUGUGAAGGCAGGAAGAAGCUGGUGUUGCCAAGAGUCUCUGGCGACCAGGAAACGAUCAAGCAAUGGAGAGAAGUCAAAAACCCGCUUUGAUGAAGCAGAUCGGGUGUAGCGGUGUUAUAAAGCCAGGGGUUGAGUUAAAGUCCAUUGCUUAAGGUAUCAUUUUACGCUAAGGUUUAUUGCCUU